AGUAAAGUGUCUGAAAAAGAAUAAUUUUGAUAGAAUUAAGCAUGCGGAAUUCCGCCUUUACUAC
rnacentral:tRNA from 1 species